AAGUCUUUGAAUGUUUGAUGUGGAAUGGAAAUAAUUUUUGUACACCUUUAUAUGUAUCGAAUUUUGAAUAAUAUCAUCUUGAAAAUUCAAUUGCUAAAAGAAUCAUUCAGAAUUCUCUGUCGUUCAAGUAACAGGAAUUAAAUGUGAUUACGUAUAUAUGGAAAUUUAUCUUAAACGAUUGGUUCAAAGAUCUUAUGUUAAGUUAAGUUGAGUAUUUACUCUUUUCAUCAGUAAUCAUUUUCAAUCAAUUGAUCAGACAAUGUACAAAUUCGAUGAUUGAGAAGAAAUUAUGUUGAUGUUCAAUUUGUAAUAUCAACUACAAAGAGAAAAAGAUCAGAAGACUGCCCACGUGUAAUCUAAGAUUCGCUUCCCUUUAUCAUUAAUCAGCAUUUUCAUUAGAACUUAUUAUUUUCUCGGCUAUGAUCCGUAAUUCCUUAACAGUGUAACUUAUGGCAUCCGACAGACUGAUUAGAAUCUCCCUGGCUGUAAUUUCUCCAUAAGGCAGCUGCCAUUUAUCUCAACUGCCAAUAACGACGAUUAUUCGUCACUUGCAAAAUCUUCGGUUGCUUGCUUUCGAGAUGUUCUUCAUCAAGAAAAAAUUCUUGGAUGACUGGUGCAAG